AUCGUCGAAUCAACACAUGGGCAAACAGAGUUCAUAGAACAUUUCUUACUUCAGGAGGUGUCCGGCCUCAGAAAAUGCUGCUCCAAAGUCCUUUGGAUGGAAUUGAAUGAGACCUAGAGGAUUCACAAGGAAUCUCCAUUUUGAAGAUGGUGGCAGAUUCAAGAUCAGAAGUCUCACAGAGAGGGCUCCUGCUGAACGCCUGGGAGAAGAAUAGACCAGAAGGAGGCUGGACACAGAGGCUGUGUGGGGCCACUCCAGCCUAUCACCAGGACACCUAAGCCUUCUGUCCAGUUGUGCUUUACACUGUCCUCCAGGCUUCCAAACAGUUUUCAUUGAGUCUUUGGAUGCUCAUUUCUGAAGCCACAUUAAAUCGAGGCUACUUCCUCUUAUUAACCUUUCUUUUUGUUGUUUGGAGACAGGGUAUGAUUAUGUAGCUUUGGCUGGCUUAGAAUUUAUCAUAUAGACCAGGAUACCCUUGAGUCCCUCCUUCCUCUGACUCCUAAAUCUGAGUGCUGAGACAAAAGAUGUGUGUCACCGCGCAUGGCAGCCUGUCUUUUGUUAUUAGGCAUGCUGGCUCUGCCUUUAUGGGGAGCAAGAAGUAUCAAACCUUCCUACUACAGAAGUCCCACGUUAAGGGAAAUCUAGAGUAAGCCUAGAUCAGAGAACGUACUAAUUACUAGCAUAGUUCUUUGACUCCAGGGAUAUGAAAAUGUCACCAUUUAAAACCUCAGUAGGGGACCACCUCAGUUUAACAUCAGGGAAGUGAAUGAAAUCUCAUACCGUAGGGUCAGGCACAGGAUGCUCAUAUUCAAGAACCCAG
rnacentral:lncRNA from 1 species